rnacentral:lncRNA from 1 species
GAUUGCAUCCCUUUCAAUAUCUUAAUGGAUUUAUUCAAGUCGGAUUCAUAGGCCCACUUCUAUUAGAAAGUGCUCUCUCUUAGUUUGUACCUUUAAUAGAAAAGGAUGUACGACUCUUUUAUGAUUUGAAUUCAUUUCUAGAAGUGUUUAUGGCUACAUUUGAAAAAAGUGAUUAAGAAAGAGUAGUAAAGACCAAAUACUUAUCUUUAUGACAAGGAUC